rnacentral:snRNA from 1 species
GUGCUUGGUUCAACAGCACGUAUACUAAAAUUGGAACAAUACAGGAAAGAUUAGCAUGGCCCCUGCGCAAGGGUGACACACGAGUAGAAGUAGCAUCAGACGAUGAU